rnacentral:rRNA from 1 species
GGACCCGCACAAGCAGCGGAGCAUGUGGUUUAAUUCGAAGCAACGCGAAGAACCUUACCAGGACUUGACAUCCCUCUGACAGGGCCUUAAUCGGCCCCUUCUUCGGACAGAGGAGACAGGUGGUGCAUGGUUGUCGUCAGCUCGUGUCGUGAGAUGUUGGGUUAAGUCCCGCAACGAGCGCAACCCUUGUCAUUAGUUGCCAUCAUUAAGUUGGGCACUCUAGUGAGACUGCCGGGGAUAACUCGGAGGAAGGUGGGGAUGACGUCAAAUCAUCAUGCCCCUUAUGUUCUGGGCUACACACGUGCUACAAUGGCCGGUACAAAGAGACGCAAGACCGUGAGGUGGAGCAAAUCUCAAAAGCCGGCCCCAGUUCGGAUUGUAGGCUGCAACUCGCCUACAUGAAGUCGGAGUUGCUAGUAAUCGCAGAUCAGAAUGCUGCGGUGAAUGCGUUCCCGGGUCUU